AUUUGGGAUAUCGUGAAUGUAGUAGUUACGUGAGAAAAUUCAUUCAAUGGAUAAAUCGAAUCAAUCAUAUCAAUAUGCGGUGUAAUAAACUUCAUUCUAAAGGAACCGUCUGAUUCUUUUCUAUGCUAUUUGAUUCGCGUAGUGGGUUUGGUUGAGGGAUCUGCAUAGUCCUAUCAAAUGACAAAGAUACGUUUCAGCAGGUGACUGGUAGAGACAAAAAAGGUAGCAACAAACUACAAAUCUAUUCCUCACAAACUGGAACAACACAAUAAAGCAUAACAUUUGGUUUUAAAAAAAAGGGCGAUUUCAUUUCUAUGUUACAGGUUGCGCCAACAAAAAACU